AAAAAACAAGGCAUCUCUAUUGUUGAGUAGUAGGUUUUACCUGGUGCGGUGGCGAAUCAGUCACUGACAACAUCCGUAAAACCUGAGUCAACACGAGAAUAAAGAGGGGAACGAAGCGGGAGACUAGGAAGAGCGGAUCGGCUCCCUGGAAAACGAAAAAGGAAAGGAGAGAGGGAGAGAGGAAGGGGGAGAGGGAGACAGCCCGGCGGACGGAGAGGGUAAUGCAUGGAGAAGCAGCGUCGCUUAUACAAGAUGUUGAUGGAAUUUACUAUAUAAAAAAAUCCCAUUUCAAGAAUAAAGUGUAUCAACUUACAGCACAACAGACGGCAGAGGGAUAAGCGAAACAGACAAAAGACAAACAAGAUAAUAAUCUGUUUCCAAUCAGUUAAGCCCUGUAGAAUUUGUAAUAUGCGGUUUGCAUAUUCCCCCUGUGUUUUGUAAUUAAUUAUCUAUCUGUUAGGAGGCUCCGCCGACGAGUUUGUUGAUAUUUCGAACUAUUUUGGUUGUGCGCGGCGGCGACUCGGCGGCAG